AGCAGCUGAGCUACUCUGUGGUCUUGAACAUCACGUCAAGAAGCGCAGGAAGAUAUACAUGUGGGUACCAGCAGAGGAAUGAGAUGAAACAGAGGAGGAGCUCUGCCCUCAGUGCUGGCCGCAUCCUGAAUGUCCCAGGCAAUGUGGCGAGUUCCCCAGCAAGUCCAUCACCCCCAGCUCCCCAUGCCCGGAUCCUACACACCCUCCCCAUAGGCAUGGUGGUAGCAGUGGCAGCCGUC